CAGAGGCAUCAGAUCGCCUGCAGUCGGAGUUAUAGGCUGUUGAGAGCCACCUGAUACAAGUGCUAAGAAUAAAACCUGAGUCACCUGGAAGAGUCGCAAAUGCUCUUAACUGCUGCGCCAUCUCCCUGUCCCCAAGACUCCAGCUUUUAUUCUAAGGAAAAUGGCAUUACAAGGAACACUAUCCGGCUGACAUUUUAGUUGUUUUGGCUGCUGUAACUGACUACUGUGGAGCAACAGAAGAAGCAGGAAGACAAGUCAAGAAGCCAUAAUAGCCGGGGCCAGCCGACAAGGACCUGGUGGCUUUGGACGAUGACCACUGGCAGCAGAAGCAGGGUUUAUGAGCCCAAGCCUGGCCUGUUCCAGGACACCCGUGGGAAGAAGAAACACGAACAGGCAGGUUUGGGAAACUUUGAUUUCUGGGUGGAUGCAGAGUUACUGGUGAUUUGGAGGUACAGUUUCUGUGAUCAGUUACU
rnacentral:lncRNA from 1 species